ensembl:lncRNA
CUUCCCGGCCGUGGGUUGGCCCUCCUUCCUCCAACUGCGACACCGAGGCGCUGCCUUCGGCGAUUCCAGUUUUCGCUGUGGGUGCCUUCCCGCUAUUUCCUGAAUAUAUUUUCUCAAUUUCUCCUUUAUUUUCAGAAGUGGUUGAGAUGUCUCACUUCCACCUUAAUUUUAAUUUGCUGUUUCCCUCUGGAAAAGAUCCCCCCAGGAAAUCCAAAAAUUUAGAAGGAACUACAGCAAAUCUCAUAAAACCUUUAAAUACAUUUCUGUUUAAAAAAAUUUUUAAUGCAUUUAUGUCGCAAAGAAUUCGCCCCUUUUUAUUUCCUCCUUUAAAUAUUGUUAUUUUAAACUCUCCAUCAAGUACAUUUUGACGAAAGGGCAGAGAAUGUGUCCGGCGGCAUGCAGCAAACCAGAGGUUUUAUCUUACGCCUCCCGGGACGGUAAAAAAGUGGAACGUGGACGAGGGAGCUUCUUGGGAAGAAGCAACACAAUUCGCUGGAGAAGAAGCCAGGCCGGGCGGGGGGGAGCGCAGCGGGGGCGUCGAGGGCCCUCGGGCUCCGAGCAGGGGAGCUGGUCUGAGGAAGAGAGAAGGUUUUAAAUAGCUGGGGCCGGGAGGGCGGCGGGCCCGCGCAUGACAGGACUUUAUGAGACAGGAUGGAGCAGCGGAUGAGAUUACUUUGCUUUCUCAUCCCCUAAGAAAAAAACUAAAGUUGGAGGGAGGCGGAGAGAACAGCCAUCCUUAUUUCCUCCCCACAUUUCCGCGGAAGGACCGGGGCUGCGGCGGGCUGGGAGAGGGCGCAGGACUAGGCGGACCAAUAGCAGUCAACAGCUGUAGCAGUGGAAGACAGUGAUUGGCUCCAGUGCUCCUAGAAGAAUUUGGGCUGAAGCCAGGGGAACAGAACCAGAGGAUUCCCUUUCCAGAGAUCAUCAGGCUUCACAUGCCUAUCUUUCCCUUCUCCCCUCUAGGGUGCUCAGAAUUUCAGUGUGGCUUAAGCAGCCCAUAGAGGCGGCUGACAUGGUCAACAUAUUUAUCAAAGGAACCCCCUGGCUUUUGAAGAACAGUACUUUAUACAUCUGGAUCUGCACAUCCAGGCAAAGCUUAGAAAUAUCCGUUUAUUCUUUUAACCACACGGAUGUGUCUAUUUUUGGAAGAACAAGGAAACAUAUAAAUGCCUGGGCUGCAUUCAUGCUGUAGUUCCAAACACCGAACAGUUAAGAAGAUUUUGCCGAAUUUUGCAAAGCAGCCAACAAACUGCCUUGGAAUCGUGGUGAUGCGACUGGGAAGACCUUUGCUCUCAUUUGGCAAUAUUUUGGAUAUCCUUGAAAAUGACACCAAAAUAUGCUUUAAUUUGACUAAGAAGAGGUUAAACAAUAUUGAUAUUCAUCCAAAGUGAUUUAAAAAAAAAAAAAGCAGAUGCUUGGCUUUCAUGGAAAAAAUGGGAGUUGUGGAAGAUUCAUUUAAACUACCAACCAAAAGCAUCACAGACCACUGAAAUAGUCUGCAUCAUACAUCAGCACUUUCUUUUCAUCGUUAUUACGUAAAACCUCUGGAAGCACCUUGGGCGGUUUACCUUUUCUUUUCUUUGCUACAGAAGCAAUCUGCUCCAUGGAAUUCUGACCUGUUGUGAACAGGACCCUGGCUAAGGCUGUGCUGGGGACUCUAGGAC